rnacentral:misc_RNA from 1 species
UCGGAAGGUGCGGCUGGAUCACCUCCUUUCUAAGGAAAAAGAUUCACGGACUGUAACAGGAAAGUGAAUCAACAAAAAAAGUCUUAUAGACUUUUCUACACUGUUUUAAUUAUAUAUAUUAUGGACCUGUAGCUCAGCUGGUUAGAGCGCACGCCUGAUAAGCGUGAGGUCGGAGGUUCGAGUCCCCCCAGGUCCACCAUUGCUUUCAAAGAAAAGCAAAUGAACUAUGAAAACUUAACAAUCAUAUCAAAAAAGAAGAAGAGUCAAAUUUUUUACGAAGUAACAAAAGAAGACACUUUUUCACUGGAAAACAAAAACAAAGCAGUCAAUAAGAAUUGAUUAGCAAAGGUCAAGUAAAAAAAGAGCAUUAGGUGAAUGCCUAGGCACCAAGAGGCGAAGAAGGACGCGACAAGCUGCGAAAAGCUGUGGGUAGGAGCAAAUAUCCACUAAACCACAG